rnacentral:rRNA from 1 species
GAUGAACGCUGGCGGCGUGCCUAAUACAUGCAAGUCGAGCGAACAGACGAGAGUGCUUGCACUCUCUGACGUUAGCGGCGGACGGGUGAGUAACACGUGGGUAACCUACCUAUAAGACUGGGAUAACUUCGGGAAACCGGAGCUAAUACCGGAUAAUAUUUAGCUUCGCAUGAAGCAAUAGUGAAAGACGGUUCUGCUGUCACUUAUAGAUGGACCCGCGGUGUAUUAGCUAGUUGGUGAGGUAACGGCUCACCAAGGCAACGAUACAUAGCCGACCUGAGAGGGUGAUCGGCCACACUGGGACUGAGACACGGCCCAGACUCCUACGGGAGGCAGCAGUAGGGAAUCUUCCGCAAUGGACGAAAGUCUGACGGAGCAAUGCCGUGUGAGUGAAGAAGGUUUUCGGAUCGUAAAACUCUGUUGUAAGGGAAGAACAAGUACGUUAGUAACUGAACGUACCUUGACGGUACCUUACCAGAAAGCCACGGCUAACUACGUG